rnacentral:rRNA from 1 species
CACGUAGGGGCAAGCGUUGUCCGGAUUUAUUGGGCGUAAGAGCUCGUAGGCGGCUCAGUAAGUCGGGUGUGAAACCUCCAGGCUCAACCUGGAGACGCCACCCGAUACUGCUGUGGCUUGAGUCCGGUAGGGGAGCGUGGAAUUCCUGGUGUGAGCGGUGAAAUGCGCAGAUAUCAGGAGGAACACCAGCGGCGAAGGCGGCGCUCUGGGCCGGAACUGACGCUGAGGAGCGAAGCGUGGGUAGCAAACAGG